UACAGAGGGUGCGAGCGUUAAUCGGAAUUACUGGGCGUAAAGCGUGCGCAGGCGGUGAUGUAAGACAGAUGUGAAAUCCCCGGGCUCAACCUGGGAACUGCAUUUGUGACUGCAUCGCUGGAGUGCGGCAGAGGGGGAUGGAAUUCCGCGUGUAGCAGUGAAAUGCGUAGAUAUGCGGAGGAACACCGAUGGCGAAGGCAAUCCCCUGGGCCUGCACUGGCGCUCAUGCACGAAAGCGUGGGGAGCAAACAGG
rnacentral:rRNA from 1 species